rnacentral:rRNA from 1 species
CCUACGGGAGGCAGCAGUCGAGAAUCAUUCACAAUGGGGGAAACCCUGAUGGUGCGACGCCGCGUGGGGGAAUGAAGGUCUUCGGAUUGUAAACCCCUGUCAUGUGGGAGCAAAUUAAAAAGAUAGUACCACAAGAGGAAGAGACGGCUAACUCUGUGCCAGCAGCCGCGGUAAUACAGAGGUCUCAAGCGUUGUUCGGAAUCACUGGGCGUAAAGCGUGCGUAGGCUGUUUCGUAAGUCGUGUGUGAAAGGCGCGGGCUCAACCCGCGGACGGCACAUGAUACUGCGAGACCAGAGGAAUGGAGGAGGAACCGGAAUUCUCGGUGUAGCAGUGAAAUGCGUAGAUAUCGAGAGGAACACUCGUGGCGAAGGCGGGUUCCUGGACAUUAACUGACGCUGAGGCACGAAGGCCAGGGGAGCGAAAGGGAUUAGAUACCCCAGUAGUC